rnacentral:snRNA from 1 species
GUCUAAAACGACGUUGUUUUGCAU